CGGACGGGUGAGUAACGCGUGGGUAACCUGCCUCACACUGGGGGACAACAGUUAGAAAUGACUGCUAAUACCGCAUAAGCGCACAGGAUCGCAUGGUCCGGUGUGAAAAACUCCGGUGGUGUGAGAUGGACCCGCGUUUGAUUAGCUAGUUGGUGGGGUAACGGCCUACCAAGGCGACGAUCGGUAGCCGGACUGAGAGGUUGAACGGCCACAUUGGGACUGAGACACGGCCCAG
rnacentral:rRNA from 1 species